rnacentral:rRNA from 1 species
AUGAAUGAGGGGAAAGAUAAAAUUACCUGGACCCUCACUGUUGAUAACAAAUUUUCUGUGAGGUCUCUGUAUAAGAAACUGAUUACACUAGGGUUGAAAUUUCCACAAAAGUAUCUAUGGAAAAUCAAAGUUCCUGGGAAAAUAAAAGUAUUUUUGUGGCUAGUAAAUAAGAAGAGUAUUUUGACUAGGGAUGUACUGCUCAAAAAAGGGUGGAAAGGGGGGAAAGGAUGUGUGUUCUGUGGACAAGAUGAAUCAAUUGAUCAUCUGUUGUUCACCUGCUCUGCGGCUUCCUUGCUUUGGAGCUUGGUCAGAUGUGUGUGUGGUUUAAAAACCAUUCCUUUUAAUGUUAAAGAAUGUUUUGGGAGGUGGACAAAAAAAUUUAACAAAGAAGAUAAGAAAAUGGUGAUGGUUGGGGUUUCCGCAUUAUUCUGGGCGAUCUGA